rnacentral:rRNA from 1 species
AACGAACGCUGGCGGCAUGCCUAACACAUGCAAGUCGAACGAGACCUUCGGGUCUAGUGGCGCACGGGUGCGUAACGCGUGGGAACCUGCCCUUAGGUUCGGAAUAACUCCCCGAAAGGGGUGCUAAUACCGGAUAAUGUCUUCGGACCAAAGAUUUAUCGCCUUUGGAUGGGCCCGCGUUGGAUUAGCUAGUUGGUAGGGUAAAAGCCUACCAAGGCGACGAUCCAUAGCUGGUCUGAGAGGAUGAUCAGCCACACUGGGACUGAGACACGGCCCAGACUCCUACGGGAGGCAGCAGUUGGGAAUAUUGGACAAUGGGCGAAAGCCUGAUCCAGCAAGGCCGCGUGAGUGAUGAAGGCCUUAGGGUUGUAAAGCUCUUUUACCCGGGAUGAUAAUGACAGUACCGGGAGAAUAAGCUCCGGCUAACUCCGUG